AGUGAACGCUGGCGGCAGGCCUAACACAUGCAAGUCGAACGGCAGCACAGUAAGAGCUUGCCCUUACGGGUGGCGAGUGGCGGACGGGUGAGGAAUACAUCGGAAUCUACUUUUUCGUGGGGGACAACGGAGGGAAACAUACGCUAAUACCGCAUAUGACCUACGGGUGAAAGCAGUGGAUAUUCGGACCUUGCGCGACUGAAUGAGCCGAUGGCGGAUUAGCUAGUUGGCGGGGUAAAGGCCCACCAAGGCGACGAUCCGUAGCUGGUCUGAGAGGAUGAUCGGCCACACUGGAACUGAGACACGGUCCAGACUCCUACGGGAGGCAGCAGUGGGGAAUAUUGGCCAAUGGGCGCAAGCCUGAUCCAGCCAUACCGCGUGGGUGAAGAAGGCUUUCGGGUCGUAAAGCUCUUUUGUUGGGGAAGAAAAAAUGUGGAAGUAACCAUGCCUGUCUUGACGGUACCCAAUGAGAAAGCCCCGGCUAACUUCGUG
rnacentral:rRNA from 1 species